rnacentral:rRNA from 1 species
AUGUUAAAUAUAUUUCGUGUUGUAAGUAUAAAUAGUUUUAAAGUUCUGGAAAUUUUUGACUUUAAAAAAAAAUAUGCUUUUGUUGGUUUUCUCUCUUCCUGUUCUCCCUUUACAUUUGAAUAUCUCUUGCGAAAACAAGACGUGUACCAUCAUCUUUUGCUUCUCUACGCCAUAAGUGAUUUGAAAAUGACCCAUCUAAGGUUUGAAUUCUAUGGUAGUUUGAUUCCCAGGAUUGGAAUCCUACGGGAUUUGUUCACAAGGAACAUCAGUUUUUCUGUGACACAAUCAAACAAACUUGAACAUAUUAAGGAUUGA